ensembl:lncRNA
AGCGGUAAUUUUCCAUUCGAGUAAUGCUCUCGUGGAAGUAACACCGACCGUCAUGCUUGUGACUUAUUUCUCCUCUAUAUAGAUAGGGGUCAACAUUUUGGAGGCACCGCUGUGAUUGCUGCUCAGAUGUCCAGUGUCCAUAGCCUGUACAUUGAAUUCUACAUCAUACUACAUAACAAUACUACAACCAGGCAGGCUACAGUGAGGCACAUGUUGCUGUUUAAGGAGAGCUGGAAGUUGGUGGUCGAGUGCACAUUUCCUGAGGCCAGUUAGAGAUCAUCGGGGAUAGUAGAGACCCACCAGUUCAGAAUCAACUCCUACUCAGUUAAAGGCCCCUGCACUGUCAACAUGUCAGCCCUGGAAGAGCUACAGGAAGAGGUAGGAGGAGUGUUGCACACCCUGAAUCGAAACAAUUUACUGGGAAUCUGUGACUUUUUGAACAUAUCAGGUGUACAAAGAGCAGAUGUUAAAGGAAAAUCACGCAUCUCAUUGGUGACUCACAUUCUGAAGCACCUUGAAAGAGAGGAAGUGGCAGAGCUAGAAGACAACGGGAUGUCAGAGUUAUUACUACUGAAAGACAAAAUUGCAGAUAUGUUAAGUGGCAUCGAUAGUGAAAGGGUACACACUGAACAUGACAUUCAGGAGACAGUGACACAGAAAGAAAUGGAUGAACUGAGUAUUGCAAGUGAACAGCAAAAAUUUGGAGUCAUGCAAACUACUACAGUCAGUGCUGCUGUUAAUGGUUCUGUGCACCAAGCUACUGCAGGCUCUCCAGUAAACACCCAAUCUUCAGCCAAUGCCCAGCAGAAGCCAAGCCCACACUGGCACAAAGAUUUCAAAAUUUCUGGACAAAUAGACAAACCUGGC